rnacentral:rRNA from 1 species
GAUGAACGCUGGCGGCGUGCCUAAUACAUGCAAGUCGAGCGAACGGACGAGAAGCUUGCUUCUCUGAUGUUAGCGGCGGACGGGUGAGUAACACGUGGAUAACCUACCUAUAAGACUGGGAUAACUUCGGGAAACCGGAGCUAAUACCGGAUAAUAUUUUGAACCGCAUGGUUCAAAAGUGAAAGACGGUCUUGCUGUCACUUAUAGAUGGAUCCGCGCUGCAUUAGCUAGUUGGUAAGGUAACGGCUUACCAAGGCAACGAUGCAUAGCCGACCUGAGAGGGUGAUAGGCCACACUGGAACGGAGACACGGUCCAGACUCCUACGGGAGGCAGCAGUAGGGAAUCUUACGCAAUGGGCGAAAGCCUGACGGAGCAACGCCGCGUGAGUGAUGAAGGUCUUCGGAUCGUAAAACUCUGUUAUUAGGGAAGAACAUAUGUGUAAGUAACUGUGCACAUCUUGACGGUACCUAAUCAGAAAGCCACGGCUAACUACGUG